rnacentral:lncRNA from 1 species
GGGGAGGGCCGGGAGCCUAGAAUGUCAGAGCGAAUGUCAGGGCAUCCGGGCCCACUCCGCGCCUUACAGACGCAGACAGGGGCUUGGAGAGAGGAAGUCCCCAAGGCCACCUGGAGAGAGAGAGAGAAGCCGAGGCCAUGCAGCCAGAGGACAGGGCAGAGAUCGAAACACGAGGCUUCUGGAUCCAAUUCAGUAACCCUUCUGUUCCCCCACCAGCUUUCAGAAAAUGGUUCCUCCCUCCCCUUGCACUCCUCCUCCUCCCUCCCUCCCACCCUCCCUUCCUCCCUCUCCUCCUGCCCUUCCCCCCUUUCCACAAACAGUGGAGAACCUUCCGUGUGCCAGGUACUUCUCCGCGUUUAUUCCUUCAGCCACCAGGGGCCAUUUUAGGGGCGAGCAGAGGAACCAUACUGAGAGGCACACUGUCCCACAGUCCUGUGUCCGCGCUGGCCCUGUCUCCCAGGCGGCCAUUUGGGGACCCGAGGACAAGGUUGCUGUUCCCUGCCUCCCCUGGGAUGACGGUGGAAAGUGGAGUGAUUGACAGGCUAUGGUUGGACCAUCGGAUGCCCCAGGUGUAUGGAAAUGAAAAAGACGAGCCAUGGGGCGCCUGGGUGGCGCAGUCGGUGGAGCGUCCGACUUCAGCCAGGUCACGAUCUCGCGGUCCUUGGGUUCGAGCCCCGCGUCGGGCUCUGGGCUGAUGGCUCAGAGCCUGGAGUCUGUUUCCGAUUCUGGGUCUCCCUCUCUCUCUGCCCCUCCCCAGUUCAUGCUCUGUCGCUCUCUGUCCCAAAAAUAAAUAAAAAAACGUUGAAAAAAAAAACA